AGUGAACGCUGGCGGUAGGCCUAACCCAUGCAAGUCGAACGGCAGCACAGUAAGAGCUUGCUCUUACGGGUUGCGCGUGUCGUACGGGUGAGGAAUACAUCGGCCUCUACUUUUUCGUGGGGGAUAACGUAGGGAAACUUACGCUAAUACCGCAUACGACCUACGGGUUAAAGCAGGGGAUCUUCGGACCUUGCGCGAUUGACUGAGCCGAUGUCGGAUUAGCUAGUUGGCGGGGUAAAGGCCCACCAAGGCGACGAUCCGUAGCUGGUCUGAGAGGAUGAGCAGCCAAACGGGAAAGGAGACACGGUCCAGACUCCGACGGGAGGCAGCAGUGGGGAAUAUUGGACAAUGGGCGCAAGCCUGAUCCAGCCAGACCGCGUGGGUGAAGAAGGCCUUCGGGUUGUAAAGCCCUUUUGGUGGGAAAGAAAAGCAGCAGGUUAAUACCCCGCUGUUCUGACGGUACCCAAAGAAUAAGCACCGGCUAACUUCGUG
rnacentral:rRNA from 1 species